rnacentral:rRNA from 1 species
AUUGAACGCUGGCGGCAGGCCUAACACAUGCAAGUCGAACGAGUGGCGGACGGGUGAGUAAUGUCUGGGAAACUGCCUGAUGGAGGGGGAUAACUACUGGAAACGGUAGCUAAUACCGCAUACCAUCAGAUGUGCCCAGAUGGGAUUAGCUAGUUGGUGGGGUAACGGCUCACCAAGGCGACGCUCCCUAGCUGGUAUGAGAGGGUGACCGGCAGCAUUGUGACGGAUACACUGUCCAGGCUGCUACGGAUGCCGGCAGUGGAGAAUGUGGUACAAUGGGGGCGAGGCCGAUGCACCCACGGCGUGUGUAUAAAGAAGGCCUUGGGGUUGGAAAGUACGGUCAGCUGGGGGGAGUUAACCGUAGAAGAAGAGCCGGGCAACUCCGUGCCAGCAGCCGCGGUAAUUC